rnacentral:rRNA from 1 species
GACGAACGCUGGCGGCGUGCUUAACACAUGCAAGUCGAACGGAAAGGCCCUGCUUUUGUGGGGUGCUCGAGUGGCGAACGGGUGAGUAACACGUGAGUAACCUGCCCUUGACUUUGGGAUAACUUCAGGAAACUGGGUCUAAUACCGGAUAGGAGCUCCUGCUGCAUGGUGGGGGUUGGAAAGUUUCGGCGGUUGGGGAUGGACUCGCGGCUUAUCAGCUUGUUGGUGGGGUAGUGGCUUACCAAGGCUUUGACGGGUAGCCGGCCUGAGAGGGUGACCGGCCACAUUGGGACUGAGAUGCGGCCCAGACUCCUACGGGAGGCAGCAGUGGGGAAUAUUGCACAAUGGGCGGAAGCCUGAUGCAGCAACGCCGCGUGCGGGAUGACGGCCUUCGGGUUGUAAACCGCUUUCGCCUGUGACGAAGCGUGAGUGACGGUAAUGGGUAAAGAAGCACCGGCUAACUACGUG